rnacentral:rRNA from 1 species
GUGCCAGCAGCUGCGGUAAUACGGAGGGUGCAAGCGUUAAUCGGAAUUACUGUGCGUAAAGCGCACGCAGGCGGUCUGUCAAGUCGGAUGUGAAAUCCCCGGGCUCAACCUGGGAACUGCAUUCGAAACUGGCAGGCUAGAGUCUUGUAGAGGGGGGUAGAAUUCCAGGUGUAGCGGUGAAAUGCGUAGAGAUCUGGAGGAAUACCGGUGGCGAAGGCGGCCCCCUGGACAAAGACUGACGCUCAGGUGCGAAAGCGUGGGGAGCAAACAGGAUUAGAUACCCUGGUAGUCCACGCCGUAAACGAUGUCGACUUGGAGGUUGUGCCCUUGAGGCGUGGCUUCCGGAGCUAACGCGUUAAGUCGACCGCCUGGGGAGUACGGCCGCAAGGUUAAAACUCAAAUGAAUUGACGGGGGCCCGCACGAAGCGGUGGAGCAUGUGGUUUAAUUCG